GGUUGCAGAACCAGGGAUGGUGUGGUACCUGAGAUAUAGCAGUGCAGAGAUGUUGCAUCAAUAGAGAGGUUGCACUAAUGGAGUUGUUGCACUACCAGAGAUGUUAAUCUGCCAAAAAAGUUGCAUUACCAGAGCUGUCGCACUACUAGAGUUGUUGCAUUAACUGUGUUGUUGUAUUAUCAGAGCUAAGGUGCUGCCAGAGAUGCUGCAUAACCAUAAG